UACGUGGGGACCAAGCGUUGUUCGGAUUUACUGGGCGUAAAGGGCGCGUAGGCGGCGUGUUAAGUCACUUGUGAAAUCUCUGAGCUUAACUCAGAACGGUCAAGUGAUACUGAUGUGCUAGAGUGCAGAAGGGGCAACCGGAAUUCUUGGUGUAGCGGUGAAAUGCGUAGAUAUCAAGAGGAACACCUGAGGUGAAGACGGGUUGCUGGGCUGACACUGAAAAGCGAAAGCCAGGGGAGCAAACGGG
rnacentral:rRNA from 1 species